GAUGAACGCUGGCGGCGUGCUUAACACAUGCAAGUCGAACGAUGACCUCCAGCUUGCUGGGGUGAUUAGUGGCGAACGGGUGAGUAACACGUGAGUAACCUGCCCCUGACUCUGGGAUAAGCACUGGAAACGGUGUCUAAUACCGGAUAUGAACUUCCGCCGCAUGGUGAGGAGUUGGAAAGAAUUUCGGUCUGGGAUGGACUCGCGGCCUAUCAGCUAGUUGGGAGGUAAUGGCUCACCAAGGCGACGACGGGUAGCCGGCCUGAGAGGGUGACCGGCCACACUGGGACUGAGACACGGCCCAGACUCCGUACGGGAGGCANCAGUGGGGAAUAUUGCACAAUGGGCGCAAGCCUGAUGC
rnacentral:rRNA from 1 species